GGAGGCAACCCAAUGUUGUAAGUCUGCAUUUUAAUUUUUUUUUUCUGCUGUGUGAGUUUCUGCUAUGUUAAAUUUUGAAAAAAUUGGGUUCUGUUUUUUACCGUUCGCCCCGCGAACUGAAUUCACAGCUUCAGUUCGCGCCGCGAACAAGGUUCGCCCCGCGAACAGUGAAUGACAGAACCAAUUUUUCGUGACAUCAUGAACGUC
rnacentral:lncRNA from 1 species